GCCGGUGCUCGGGCGUCCGGCUACGGAAACCGAAAAAUACAGGGCGCUAAAAAUCGCCGUUCACACCAGCACCUGGAGAGAUGCACAGACAGUCACAGAAG